rnacentral:rRNA from 1 species
UUCCUUGAACCGCAUGGUUCAAGGAUGAAAGACGGUUUCGGCUGUCACUUACAGAUGGACCCGCGGCGCAUUAGCUAGUUGGUGGGGUAAUGGCUCACCAAGGCGACGAUGCGUAGCCGACCUGAGAGGGUGAUCGGCCACACUGGGACUGAGACACGGCCCAGACUCCUACGGGAGGCAGCAGUAGGGAAUCUUCCGCAAUGGACGAAAGUCUGACGGAGCAACGCCGCGUGAGUGAUGAAGGUUUUCGGAUCGUAAAGCUCUGUUGUUAGGGAAGAACAAGUGCGAGAGUAACUGCUCGCACCUUGACGGUACCUAACCAGAAAGCCACGGCUAACUACGUGCCAGCAGCCGCGGUAAUACGUAGGUGGCAAGCGUUGUCCGGAAUUAUUGGGCGUAAAGGGCUCGCAGGCGGUUUCUUAAGUCUGAUGGAAAGCCCCCGGCUCAACCGGGGAGGGUCAUUGGAAACUGGGAAACUUGAGUGCAGAAGAGGAGAGUGGAAUUCCACGUGUAGCGGUGAAAUGCGUAGAGAUGUGGAGGAACACCAGUGGCGAAGGCGACUCUCUGGUCUGUAACUGACGCU